rnacentral:rRNA from 1 species
UACGUAGGGUGCAAGCGUUGUCCGGAAUUAUUGGGCGUAAAGAGCUCGUAGGCGGUCUGUCGCGUCGGAUGUGAAAAUCCAGGGCUCAACCCUGGACCUGCAUUCGAUACGGGCAGACUAGAGUUCGGCAGGGGAGACUGGAAUUCCUGGUGUAGCGGUGAAAUGCGCAGAUAUCAGGAGGAACACCGGUGGCGAAGGCGGGUCUCUGGACAGUUCCUGACACUGAGACACGAAGGCCAGGGGAGCAAACGGG